AAAGAAGCUACUGUUUGCCGAUAAUUUCGGUGAUUUGGAAUUGGAUAAAUCUACGUGCACUGCUGCUUGGCAUUCCUUUUCGAACUCGAAGCGGUUGUCGACGGUCGUGUUCUGUGCUACAGUGCUACAGUUACAGCUACAGUUACAGCUACAGCUACAGCUACAGCUACAGCUACAGUAGCUACGCACACUGCUGCCCGUUUUUUGGUUUUGCAAUGGCUGCUGGCUGUUCCACUUCUUCACUGGUAUCAGAAUCGAUGGCAUGCGAAUACAAAUAAACGAUCGGAUUCGCUGACUUUUUGGUUCAACAAAUCAAAGAUCGUUUCAAGCAAUAAUUAUGACCCAGACGUGAUUCUUGACUGUGGAGAAAAGGACUAAAGUUAUAUAGAUUAGCUGUUGUCUGUAAAUUGUAUUUUGUUAAUUUGUUGUUGGAGUAAGAAUCAUUUCUGAUGCACGAAACUUUGGCUGUUUUCUAUCUUUCCAUUUCUUAAGUGCUUUGUUGCUGCAGUGUUUCAAAAGAUAAUUGUGACGAAGAUAUGAUAUGUGGACCUCAAAUGUAUAGAACUGCGUAAUAACUUUAUAACUCUUUGGGGUUUAGAAGAGGUGUUUGAUUCAGAAUAAACAGGGAGCUUUGAGGGUGGCCCGCAAUUAUGUCUAAAAACAGCAUCACAAGUGAACAAAGAUUGAACGAAGUGCUUUAAAAUGAACAUUACAGCUCUAAGAAUGACUUUAGAAAAUAUUUAAAAACGCCCCAUAAGUCGACGAGGGCUAAGAGUGUAUGAUUAGAAAACUUAAAAAUUUGAUUCUGACUAAAUAGGAGAACCUCUAGGAGUAACCCAUGAAAAUGUGCCAACGAGCAUAAGGAAUUGGUGGGACUGGCAGAAGCAUAUUGCUGUCAAGUUUAAAGUAGAAUUCAGAAUAAUUAACAAAGCUUUUAGAUAAGCCUGCAAGAUAUUUAAACGACCACCACGAUACACCGAGAGAUAAAAGAAGAUGGAAACUUUGAAAAUUGCAAUUAGAAUAAGCAGGAGAAUUAAAGAGGGUAACCCGUGAAAGUAUUUAAACGAGGACCCCAAUUAGAUCGUGGCUUACAAAAUAUAUUGAAGAACUUUUCUGCCUUGCCUCGAUAUUGCAACCGUUUAUGUAUCAAAUUGGUGUGUACAUUUUAAUAAACGGAAGAGUAGCUCCCAGUAAAUCCCGCUCUGCGGGCACCCUAUGGACCCCGGAAUGGAAUAGUAAGAUUAGCCUCUGAAAGUCAAGAGUGCUAUUAACCUCGAUUUCAAAGGGGUUCAGAUGGUGAUGAAAGCUAUGAUAUUGCUAAUUGGUAAUCAUAAUAAUCAAGGAACUACUUAUUGGAUUGAUUCUAUUAGGAAUUUCGCAAGUAUGGGUAUCUGGAGCCAGCAAGUAAUUAAGUUUGGGUUUACUUUUCUAAAAGGAUUUACUGAAUUACAAUCAAGGUAAUAAGGCAUUAUCUUCCUCCACGAAAAUAGCUCUUAUCUCAAUAGGGUUGUUGCUGCAAGUAAAUAAUACUUUGUCCUCGAGCAAUUAUUUCCUGCUCUUGCCAAUAGUAUAUGCUACUCACAGUAGGCGUGACUAUGGAUUAGAUUAAUUAUGUUUGCCUUUUGUCACGUUUAAAGUGUCCUUGCCUGCUUGCUGUAUGAUAUUACACUUUUUGCUUGCAUUCCUUAUUAAAUUGAAAGAAUGU